CAGCAGUCGCCGCGGUAAUACGUAGGGUGCAAGCGUUAAUCGGAAUUACUGGGCGUAAAGCGUGCGCAGGCGGUUUUGUAAGACAGAGGUGAAAUCCCCGGGCUCAACCUGGGAACUGCCUUUGUGACUGCAAGGCUAGAGUACGGCAGAGGGGGAUGGAAUUCCGCGUGUAGCAGUGAAAUGCGUAGAUAUGCGGAGGAACACCGAUGGCGAAGGCAAUCCCCUGGGCCUGUACUGACGCUCAUGCACGAAAGCGUGGGGAGCAAACAGGAUUAGAUACCCCCGUAGUCCCUGUCUCUUAUAC
rnacentral:rRNA from 1 species